rfam:Glycine soja cultivar W05 scaffold2169_2, whole genome shotgun sequence.
GAGUGUCACAUCAUCAUGUCUUGUCACGGGCACCUCAUUGUCAUGUCAUCACCUUCAAUGACGUGACAAUGACAUGUUAGUAAUUGAGCGUGAUGAUGUGACAUUUCGU